CUACGUGCCAGCAGCCGCGGUAAUACGGAAGGUCCGGGCGUUAUCCGGAUUUAUUGGGUUUAAAGGAGCGUAGGCUGGAGAUUAAGUGUGUUGUGAAAUGUAGACGCUCAACGUCUGAAUUGCAGCGCAUACUGGUUUCCUUGAGUACGCACAACGUUGGCGGAAUUCGUCGUGUAGCGGUGAAAUGCUUAGAUAUGACGAAGAACUCCGAUUGCGAAGGCAGCUGACGGGAGCGCAACUGACGCUGAAGCUCGAAGGUGCGGGUAUCGAACAGGAUUAGAUACCCUGGUAGUCCGCACAGUAAACGAUGGAUGCCCGCUGUUGGUACCUGGUAUCAGCGGCUAAGCGAAAGCAUUAAGCAUCCCACCUGGGGAGUACGCCGGCAACGGUGAAACUCAAAGGAAUUGACGGGGGCCCGCACAAGCGGAGGAACAUGUGGUUUAAUUCGAUGAUACGCGAGGAACCUUACCCGGGCUUGAAUUGCAGAGGAAGUAUUUAGAGAUA
rnacentral:rRNA from 1 species